CCCUGACGUCAGCCCCUCGGACCCGGAUGUAGGCGCUCUCGCGGCAUCACCGAGAUUUGGUCCGGUGACUCUCCUGAAGUCGCCAUAUCCCAGACGCAGUGCGCGCUUUUACCCUCCUUGCUGUUUCCCUUCUCUCCAGCCUGCGUCUCUCCCACUCUUCACUUUUGCUUUCUUGAGUAAACUUGGCCCCGGCCUUUUGCUGGUUUCAUUCAGUUCUCUGUGCCCAACGAAAAGAACCUGUGGUCAGCUGCAGGAAAGGCCAGCGGCCCUAUCCCGGUAACGUGAGGUUGGAGCUGCUUUGGGAACCGGCUGCCUGGUACCGGGGGUCGGCCCGGAAGGCCGCAGUCUCCAGUCGUCCCCUCUCCGACCACCGCCACACCGUCCCUGCCGGCCUAAACAGAAACGGCGAACCUUGGCUCCAAUUCUGAGAAUUGGAAUAAGCUAGGAUUUCGGGACGCAUGGGUCAGAUGUAGCAGCUUUGCGCCACACUGGCAUGGGUGAGGCUGAGGCAAGACAAUCUCAUGCCUGAGGUAGGUUGGAUAUUUAGAGAGUUCAAGACCAGCCUGGGCGACGGAGCACCAUCCUGUCUCAAAAUGAGACUCAGGAUGCAGUGAGAGUUCUGGGAAUCCCAAAUGCAGCUUGAAGCCUGCAAACCACGCCGCAGCUGCAUUGCUUCUAAAUCUUCUGAGGGCCAGGGUGAGAAUGAGAGUGCUGACACUGCAGUACGUGCCGACAAGCUUGAAAAGAGAGAUGAGUACCGCAGAGGAGUUAUACGAACAGAGCCCGGAGUCUGAUGAGCGGCUGCAGCCCCAGCUCUUUGAUUUGAUAAAUCUCAGUUGUCUGGGCUGGGCCCAGACUUGCAGUCCUCCUGCUUCAGCCUCCCAAGGUGCUGGAUCCCAGCCUCAGGGCGAGGGAUCCCCAAAGCCUGCAGAUAGUGGAGCAGGAUGUGGGCCCCAGGCCUGGAAGAGCAAAGAAGAGGAGGAGGAGGAGCCUGGCGUGGUGGUGUACGCAGAUGACCAGAACCACGCAGAUGGUGCUGCUGGGAGCAAAAUCAUGAACAAGCGCACGGUUUCUACAAACCCUUCGGCGCCCCACCAGGGUGUGAAACAUUCGGAGUUUCCCGGGGAAUCACCGCAGCCUGCGUCUGGCCGGGCUGGAGGACGAGCAGCCGGCGCUGGCCCCGAACCCGGUGCCGUCCACCCGGC
rnacentral:lncRNA from 1 species